CCUACGGGAGGCAGCAGUGAGGAAUAUUGGUCAAUGGUCGGGAGACUGAACCAGCCAAGCCGCGUGAGGGAGGAAGGUACAGAGUAUCGUAAACCUCUUUUGUCAGGGAACAAAGACUGGGACGCGUCCCCGGAUGAGUGUACCUGAAGAAAAAGCAUCGGCUAACUCCGUGCCAGCAGCCGCGGUAAUCCGGAGGAUGCGAGCGUUAUCCGGAUUUAUGGGGUUUAAAGGGUGCGCAGGGGGUGUGUUAAGUCAGCGGUCAAAGCCCGGGGCUCAACCCCGGCCCGCCGUUGAAACUGGCAGUCUCGAGUGGGAGAGAAGGAUGCGGAAUGCGCGGUGUAGCGGUGAAAUGCAUAGAUAUCGCGAAGAACACCGAUUGCGAAGGCAGCAUGCCGGCUCCACACUGACGCUGAGGCACGAAAGCGUGGGUAUCGAACAGGAUUAGAUACCCCAGUAGUC
rnacentral:rRNA from 1 species